rnacentral:rRNA from 1 species
GACGAACGCUGGCGGCGUGCUUAACACAUGCAAGUCGAACGGAAAGGCCCUGCUUUUGUGGGGGGCUCGAGUGGCGAACGGGUGAGUAACACGUGAGUAACCUGCCCUUUACUUUGGGAUAACUUCAGGAAACUGGGGCUAAUACCGGAUAGGAGCUCCUGCUGCAUGGUGGGGGUUGGAAAGUUUCGGCGGUUGGGGAUGGACUCGCGGCUUAUCAGCUUGUUGGUGGGGUAGUGGCUUACCAAGGCUUUGACGGGUAGCCGGCCUGAGAGGGUGACCGGCCACAUUGGGACUGAGAUACGGCCCAGACUCCUACGGGAGGCAGCAGUGGGGAAUAUUGCACAAUGGGCGGAAGCCUGAUGCAGCAACGCCGCGUGCGGGAUGACGGCCUUCGGGUUGUAAACCGCUUUCGCCUGUGACGAAGCGUGAGUGACGGUAAUGGGUAAAGAAGCACCGGCUAACUACGUG